UCUCUCACCUAUGUUGGACGUUUAGCUAUAGAUUUUUUUUUUUGACAUUUCUUUCAUAGAUUGUGGGGUGCGUGAAGAGUCUUUUUCACAAAUAUGCUGAUAAGAAGCUUUAGUUAUGGACUUGUGCUCUAUGGAGACCUUGUAAGUGUUAAGUGGUGGGACCUCCUGGGAGAUUGCAACCAAGCGAUGCAGUGUUUGCUUUCCUAGACGCUAUAAGAGAUUUUGAAGGAAUUCUACGGGGAGCUCUAUCCGGUGGCCUUUUCGAUCUACAAUUGAUGGAUAUGAGGGGUUUGAGUUCGGUAGCGAUGAUGGAGGUUUCUCCAGGACUAUCGUUUUCAAAUCUUCUAUGGUUGCUAGAGGUUGGGAAUUUUUUGAUUUGUGCCAAGUCGAGUGGAGUUUGUGAGGAUGCUCUGGAUUAGAUUUGUUUAUAUUUUCUCUAGAUUUUUACUUGGAUUCAUAUUCUGUAAUUUGUUCAUUUGGGCUCCUGUUUGAUGUAAUCCAUGACAUUGUCAUAUACUACUAUGUUUUUGAGAAUCAAUCGUUUUCGCUGGGCUUUCUAUUUUU